rnacentral:rRNA from 1 species
CCUACGGGAGGCAGCAGUGGGGAAUAUUGGACAAUGGGCGAAAGCCUGAUCCAGCCAUGCCGCGUGUGUGAAGAAGGCCUUCGGGUUGUAAAGCACUUUCAGUGGGGAAGAAAGCCUUGGGGCUAAUACCCUCGAGGAAGGACAUCACCCACAGAAGAAGCACCAGCUAACUCCGUGCCAGCAGCCGCGGUAAUACGGAGGGUGCGAGCGUUAAUCGGAAUUACUGGGCGUAAAGCGCGCGUAGGCGGUCUGAUAAGCCGGUUGUGAAAGCCCCGGGCUCAACCUGGGAACGGCAUCCGGAACUGUCAGGCUAGAGUGCAGGAGAGGAAGGUAGAAUUCCCGGUGUAGCGGUGAAAUGCGUAGAGAUCGGGAGGAAUACCAGUGGCGAAGGCGGCCUUCUGGACUGACACUGACGCUGAGGUGCGAAAGCGUGGGUAGCAAACAGGAUUAGAUACCCCUGUAGUC